AGAGUUUGAUCCUGGCUCAGGAUGAACGCUGGCGGCGUGCUUAACACAUGCAAGUCGAACGGGACUCUAUGGAUCAAGGCUUCGGCCAAGUGAGAUUGAGUUUAGUGGCGGACGGGUGAAUAACGCGUGAGGAACCUGCCUUUCAGAGGGGAAUAACAGUUGGAAACGACUGCUAAUACCGCAUAACGCAUAAAGGCCGCAUGACCUAUAUGCCAAAGAUUUAUCGCUGAGAGAUGGCCUCGCGUCUGAUUAGCUAGUUGGCGGGAUAACAGCCCACCAAGGCGACGAUCAGUAGCCGGACUGAGAGGUUGGCCGGCCACAUUGGGACUGAGAUACGGCCCAGACUCCUACGGGAGGCAGCAGUGGGGAAUAUUGGGCAAUGGGCGCAAGCCUGACCCAGCAACGCCGCGUGAAGGAAGAAGGUCUUCGGAUUGUAAACUUCUUUUGUCGGGGACGAUGAUGACGGUACCCGGCGAAUAAGCUCCGGCUAACUACGUGCCAGCAGCCGCGGUAAUACGUAGGGAGCGAGCGUUAUCCGGAUUUACUGGGUGUAAAGGGCGUGUAGGCGGGACCGCAAGUCAGAUGUGAAAACUCCGGGCUCAACUCGGAGCCUGCAUUUGAAACUGUGGUUCUUGAGUGAUGGAGAGGCAAGCGGAAUUCCUAGUGUAGCGGUGAAAAUGCGUAGAUAUUAGGAGGAACACCAGUGGCGAAGGCGGCUUGCUGGACAUUAACUGACGCUAAGGCGCGAAAGCGUGGGGAGCAUACAGGAUUAGAUACCCUGGUAGUCCACGCCGUAAACG
rnacentral:rRNA from 1 species